rnacentral:misc_RNA from 1 species
GAUGAAGAACGUAGCGAAAUGCGAUAAGUAAUGUGAAUUGCAGAAUUCAGCGAAUCAUCGAAUCUUUGAACGCACCUUGCACCCUUUGGCAUUCCGAAGGGUAUGCUCGUUUGAGUGUCAUUGUACUCUCACACUUCCAAUCUUUGGAUUGGGAGCAGUGGACUUGGGUGUUGCUGCUUACUGUGGCUCACCUCAAAUCGAUUCGUGCACCUCUUGGUUGGACAUAGUACGGCGUGAUAAGUGUCUUCGCCGGCACCUCAGUAGAGGGUGGCUGAUCAGGAGCUCUGUGCUUCAAACCGUCCUCGGACAACAACUGACAACUUGACCUCAAAUCGAGUAGGACUACCCGCUGAACUUAAGCAUAUCAAUAAGCGGAGGA